rnacentral:ncRNA from 1 species
UGUCUCCUCCACCUCCUCCUUGGUGGAUUAAGCCCGAGCCUCAGCUGCUCGGGCUUUUUUUU